rnacentral:pre_miRNA from 1 species
AAUAAAUACAGCCGUGGAUAUCCGUGCCCAACGUUUGACCGUCCGUUUUAUUUGAAAAUUUUAUGAAAAAUUUGAAAAUAUUUAGUCACACAUAAAGUACUAUUCAUGUUUUAUCAUCUAAUAGCAAUAAAAAUACUAAUCAUAAAAAAAAUUUAAAUAAGACGAACGGUCAAACGUUGAACGUAAAUAGUGCAAAACUAUAUUUAUU